rnacentral:rRNA from 1 species
GAUGAACGCUCGCUCCAGGCUUAACACAUGCAAGUCGAGGGGCAGCAUGGUCUUAGCUUGCUAAGGCCGAUGGCGACCGGCGCACGGGUGAGUAACACGUAUCCAACCUGCCGUCUACUCUUGGACAGCCUUCUGAAAGGAAGAUUAAUACAAGAUGGCAUCAUGAGUCCGCAUGUUCACAUGAUUAAAGGUAUUCCGGUAGACGAUGGGGAUGCGUUCCAUUAGAUAGUAGGCGGGGUAACGGCCCACCUAGUCUUCGAUGGAUAGGGGUUCUGAGAGGAAGGUCCCCCACAUUGGAACUGAGACACGGUCCAAACUCCUACGGGAGGCAGCAGUGAGGAAUAUUGGGCAAUAGGCGAGAGCCUGAACCAGCCAAGUAGCGUGAAGGAUGACUGCCCUAUGGGUUGUAAACUUCUUUUAUAAAGGAAUAAAGUCGGGUAUGGAUACCCGUUUGCAUGUACUUUAUGAAUAAGGAGCGGCUAACUCCGUG